UCAAAAAAAAAAUAUUUCAGCCGAGGAAUGUCGCGUCGCGGAUGAUUUAAUUAUUUAUUAACGAAUACUUAGUGCUGGUGCAAGUGCAAUUGUGAGUCAACGGGCAAUAAGAAUCCGGCCAACUCCAGCUCCCAAAAGGUCUUUCGCCCCACAAGCUGUUGAAUAAUAUAU